rnacentral:rRNA from 1 species
UCAACGUAUAGGAGGUCUUACCUGCCCAGUGACUACAUGUUAAACGGCCGCGGUAUUUUGACCGUGCAAAGGUAGCGCAAUCACUUGUCUUUUAAAUGAAGACCCGUAUGAAUGGUGAAACGAGGGCUUAACUGUCUCCUUUCUCAAGUCAAUGAAAUUGAUCUCUCCGUGCAGAAGCGGAGAUAAACAUACAAGACGAGAAGACCCUUUGGAGCUUAAGAUAAAAAUCAACUAUGUCAAUAUCUUCGGUUGGGGCGACCACGGGAGAAAAUAAAGCUCCCAUGAGGACUGGGAAAAAAACUAAGAGAGACAUCUCUACGUCACAGAAUUUCUGACCACCUAGCCGAUCAACGAACCAAGUUACCCUAGGGAUAACAGCGCAAUCCCCUUUCAGAGUCCAUAUCGACAAGGGGGUUUACGACCUCGAUGUUGGAUCAGGACAUCCUAAUGGUGCAGCCGCUAUUA